AGUGGUGAUCGUGGUGAUCAGUUUGCGCGGACCAGUCCCGCCGUCGCGAGGUCCGAGAUACGGUCGCCACCGCCUGUCUCCGCGCUCCGCGCCGCCCGCCUCUGUCUACGCGCGCACCGCGGCGGCGUCCGUCCGCCCCGCCCCCCGGGCCUUCCCCGUGAGGUAGGCGCUCACCACUCCCGGCCUAAACUUCAAGGGCUGGGCUGUUGUGUCUCAGCCAGAGGAAAAACCACGAUUUAGCACACUGGUCCUGCAGCCGCCCACCAUGACUCGCAGCGGGGGCCGCUGGCUCCUGCCGCUCGCCUUGCUGGCCGUCAUCCUGGCGACGGCCGAGUCGGCGCGCGGCGUGGCGUACGAGUCCCUGUCGCUGCCGCGCGUCAAGC